GACGAACGCUGGCGGCGUGCUUAACACAUGCAAGUCGAACGGAAAGGCCCUGCUUUUUUGGUGUGCUCGAUUGGCGAACGGGUGAGUAACACGUGAGUAACCUGCCCUUGACUUUGGUAUAACUUCAGGAAACUGGGGCUACUACCGUAUAGGAUCUCCUGCUGCAUGGUGGGGGUUGGAUAGUUUCGGCGGUUGGGGAUGGACGCGCGGCUUAUCAGCUUGUUGGUUGGGUAGUUGCUUACCAAGGCUUUGACGGGUAGCCGGCCUGAGAGGGUGACCGGCCACAUUGGGACUGAGAUACGGCGCAGACUGCUACGGGAGGCAGCAGUGGGGAAUAUUGCACAAUGGGCGGAAGCCUGAUGCAGAAACGCCGCGGGCGGGAUGACGGCCUUCGGGUUGUGAACCGCUUUAGCCUGUGACGAAGCGUGAGUGACGGUAAUGGGUAAAGAAGCACCGGCUAACUACGUG
rnacentral:rRNA from 1 species